AUUGAACGCUGGCGGCAUGCCUUACACAUGCAAGUCGAACGGCAGCGGGGGAGAAGCUUGCUUUUCCUGCCGGCGAGUGGCGAACGGGUGAGUAAUACAUCGGAACGUGCCCCGUAGUGGGGGAUAACUAGUCGAAAGAUUAGCUAAUACCGCAUACGACCUGAGGGUGAAAGUGGGGGACCGCAAGGCCUCAUGCUAUAGGAGCGGCCGAUGUCUGAUUAGCUAGUUGGGGGGGUAAAGGCCUACCAAGGCGACGAUCAGUAGCUGGUCUGAGAGGACGAUCAGCCACCCUGGGACUGAGACACGGCCCAGACUCCUACGGGAGGCAGCAGUGGGGAAUUUUGGACAAUGGGCGAAAGCCUGAUCCAGCAAUGCCGCGUGUGUGAAGAAGGCCUUCGGGUUGUAAAGCACUUUUGUCCGGAAAGAAAUGGCUCUGGUUAAUACCUGGGGUCGAUGACGGUACCGGAAGAAUAAGGACCGGCUAACUACGUGCCAGCAGCCGCCGUAACAC
rnacentral:rRNA from 1 species